rnacentral:rRNA from 1 species
UACGGAGGGUGCAAGCGUUAUCCGGAUUCACUGGGUUUAAAGGGAGCGUAGGCGGGUAGGUAAGUCCGUGGUGAAAGCCUCAAGCUUAACUUGAGAACUGCCAUGGAUACUAUUUAUCUUGAAUGUUGUUGAGGUUUGCGGAAUGGGUCAUGUAGCGGUGAAAUGCAUAGAUAUGACCCGGAACACCUAUUGCGAAGGCAGCAGACUAAGCAAAUAUUGACGCUGAGGCUCUAAAGCGUGGGGAUCAAACAGG